GGGCCAAUCAGAGACCGUGUUUCCACUGUUACCCGGAAAACAGGGAAAGGCAGCCCCUGAUUGGUCCAUGUAUAGUGGUGACGUCUAAAACAUGCUGCGGGACUUUUCAAAGCGCCGUUCAUUCAGAACGCCGUUAAUUCUGCAGUUGACUCUGCAAAGUCGAAAGAAAUCGUUUAUAUCCGACGUCUUCUGCGGAUAUUAACGAUUUCUGCCGACUUUGCAGAGUCAACUGCAGAAUUAACGGCGCUUUGAAAAGUCCCGCAGCAUGUGUUAGACGUCACUAUCUACACAUGGAACAAUCAGGGGCUGCCUUUUCCCUGUUUUCCGGGUAACCGUGGAAACAGGGUCUCUGAUUGGCCCGGUUAUUUUCUGAUCGGGAAUACACGCUCCCAAUGUGCCGAAGUCCAGACUGUUGUGGGAAGGAACUGCAAGUGAUUCAAGUGAUAAGGUAGGAGACCACAGUCAUUUUUUCACAUUCAUGUGUAUUUUUAUCUAUUCUACGCUAUUUAGAUAAUAACAAUAAUUCUUUUUAUUAUUAUUGCAUAAAACUGCUUAAAAGCUGUUUUGUAAAAAGUCAUUUUAACAUGAGAUUGUCUUUAAGUGAUUCAGAACAUUCACAGCUGUAUUUUUGAAAAGAAAAAGUAAAAAAAUUCAACAAUCUGAACUGAAACUCUGAUCCUCUCAUCAGACGUCUUUACUUUCUCUAUUGAGUCUCUGACUCAACUUACCCCUGAACUACUAUGAUGACUUUAUUAGUCCUCUGAGCUAAAAUGGUGGACUUUUAGCUCAUAGAUACCACAAUUGAUGUAUAAAACACAUUUAAAAUGAUCUUUUUUGGUCUGAACACAAUUGUAAUAAAACUUUUGACAGACUAAAUUCACUUUCAAGAGUGAACAAUGUUUUUUUUUUUUUUUUUUUUUUUUUAAAUAAAUGUCUAACCCCUUUACCCAUGUGCUUCUAACCUUCACAGACUUCAUGAAUGGAUGCCCAUCUCCUAAAUAUUUGGUCACGUGAUCAAUUUCUUUUACCAUUUCCAAGCAACAGGGGGUGGCUCAACUUACCCUUUGGCUUAACUUACCCCACUCUCCCCUGUACAGAUGUAAUAGAUUCUUUUUUUUAGACUGUAAAAGUAUAGGCUACUUUAGAGGUUUCUUUCCCCUUAUUUUCUUUCUAAAUCUCCUUCCGUUCAAUUUCAUGUGUGAUAUGAGCCGGUCAUGUAGAGUUUCGUCUAAGAGCAUUUUUAUCAGCUUUGUCACAGAGGGCCUUACAGGAAGUAACAGCCAGUUCAUGAGAUGAGACAAAAAAAAGCAAGAAGAAAAAAAAAACUGAGAAACUAUGGCUUUAUUUAUGUUUUCAAAGUACUUCUGUCAGCUCAUUACUGGUUUGGGGUCAGUACAACACUUUAGCAUUUUCUUUUGUUUGUCUGAUUUAUUACCUGAUGGACCCUCACUGUACUUUAUGUGUGCCAGCACUAACUGGACUCAAAAGGAGCAAGUCCUUUACUGUCCAAACAGUUAGGGUCACAUUUCUAUGCUUUAAAAGUAUAAUACUUUAUAAUACUACUUUUACUUCUGUGGCCUCAAUAAGAUAGGAGAAGACACCAAAUUAAGCUGUUUUUAUUUGUUUGUAGAGGAGCAGGUACGUGUUAUGUCUGUGAUACAAUGUCCAACACAGUGGUUUUCAACAUGAUCAUGGUAGGAUCGAUCUGCGCUUUGAUUGAUCAAGAGGAUAUGUAGGCUUUUAAUUGUGUCAGAGCUGCUUGAACUUAUAUACUUUUGUCACUAACACAUCAAAAUACGUAAAGGUGAUGAAAAUGAAGCAUGUGGCGCUGCUGCCGUCAUGUCCCUGAGGGCUGCACGUGGGGCAAUCUCUACUAACUGUCAGAAUCACACUCAGUGACACUGCAGAGUUAGUGGAUAUUAGUAAAACUACUUUCCAUGAGCUGUGCAGUCAUUAAAUGUCUGUUGAUGACACUUUGGAUUUUUACAUGCAACAAUAGAGUUAGGAGAUGGUUUGGUUUUCUCUUCUGCACUUUGGAGAAAUGUGAGGAUGAGACAAGCUGAUAAAAACAUAAGCUGUUAUCUCCUGUGAUGUUUAAAAAAAAGGCUCACUACAGUUUUGCGUAAAUAAAAUAAACUUACUUUAGUAAUUGUGAUGACUUGGGCCUGUUAUAUUGAUAUUUAAUAGGAUUACAUGUGUAAAAUAUCUUUGAAAAAUCGAACUUCACCCUUUCACCACUUGCUUGCCAAUUCCUCUGAA
rnacentral:lncRNA from 1 species